CGGUGAUGAUGAUAAAUUUAAGGUUGUUUCUCAAAACAUUCGCAGAUGCCGCCUAAGAGCUUUCGCCAAGCCAGGCUUGAGAGCUAAUGCUGCUAAUUCCUUCCUUGGAUGUCUGAGCCU
rnacentral:snoRNA from 2 species